CGCGUAGGGCGCGAGCGUUGUCCGGAAUUAUUGGGCGUAAAGAGCUCGUAGGCGGCCUGUUGCGUCCGCUGUGAAAGCCCGGGGCUUAACCCCGGGUCGGCAGUGGAUACGGGCAGGCUAGAGGUAGGUAGGGGAGAAUGGAAUUCCCGGUGUAGCGGUGAAAUGCGCAGAUAUCGGGAGGAACACCGGUGGCGAAGGCGGUUCUCUGGGCCGAUACUGACGCUGAGGAGCGAAAGCGUGGGGAGCGAACAGG
rnacentral:rRNA from 1 species